GUGGAUUAGAUACCCUGGUAGUCCAUGCUGUAAACGAUGAAUACUAGGUGUGGGAGGACUGACCCCUUCCGUGCCGCAGUUAACACAAUAAGUAUUCCACCUGGGGAGUACGAUCGCAAGAUUGAAACUCAAAGGAAUUGACGGGGGCCCGCACAAGCAGUGGAUUAUGUGGUUUAAUUCGACGCAACGCGAAGAACCUUACCAGGAUUUGACAUCCCACUAACGAAGUAGAGAUACAUUAGGUGCCCGUCGGGGAAAGUGGAGACAGGUGGUGCACGGCUGUCGCCAGCU
rnacentral:rRNA from 1 species